rnacentral:rRNA from 1 species
AUUGAACGCUGGCGGCAUGCCUUACACAUGCAAGUCGAACGGCAGCACGGGAGCAAUCCUGGUGGCGAGUGGCGAACGGGUGAGUAAUAUAUCGGAACGUGCCCAGUCGUGGGGAUAACGUAGCGAAAGCUACGCUAAUACCGCAUACGAUCUGUGGAUGAAAGCGGGGGAUCGCAAGACCUCGCGCGAUUGGAGCGGCCGAUAUCAGAUUAGGUAGUUGGUGAGGUAAAGGCUCACCAAGCCGACGAUCUGUAGCUGGUCUGAGAGGACGACCAGCCACACUGGGACUGAGACACGGCCCAGACUCCUACGGGAGGCAGCAGUGGGGAAUUUUGGGACAAUGGGCGCAAGCCUGAUCCAGCAAUGCCGCGUGCAGGAUGAAGGCCUCGGUUGUAAC